GACGAACGCUGGCGGCGUGCCUAAUACAUGCAAGUAGAACGCACAGUUUAUACCGUAGCUUGCUACACCAUAGACUGUGAGUUGCGAACGGGUGAGUAACGCGUAGGUAACCUGCCUGGUAGCGGGGGAUAACUAUUGGAAACGAUAGCUAAUACCGCAUAAUAUUAAUUAUUGCAUGAUAAUUAAUUGAAAGGUGCAAUUGCACCACUACCAGAUGGACCUGCGUUGUAUUAGCUAGUAGGUGAGGUAACGGCUCACCUAGGCGACGAUACAUAGCCGACCUGAGAGGGUGAUCGGCCACACUGGGACUGAGACACGGCCCAGACUCCUACGGGAGGCAGCAGUAGGGAAUCUUCGGCAAUGGACGAAAGGCUGACCGAGCAACGCCGCGUGAGUGAAGAAGGGUUUCGGAUCGUAAAGCUCUGUUGUAAGAGAAGAACGGGUGUGAGAGUGGAAAGUUCACACUGUGACGGUAUCUUACCAGAAAGGGACGGCUAACUACGUG
rnacentral:rRNA from 1 species